rnacentral:rRNA from 1 species
GCUUAUGCGUUGUUGGGUAGGGGAGCGUUCUGUAAGCCUGCGAAGGUGGCCUGUGAGGGUUGCUGGAGGUAUCAGAAGUGCGAAUGCUGACAUAAGUAACGAUAAAGCGGGUGAAAAGCCCGCUCGCCGGAAGACCAAGGGUUCCUGUCCAACGUUAAUCGGGGCAGGGUGAGUCGACCCCUAAGGCGAGGCCGAAAGGCGUAGUCGAUGGGAAACGGGUUAAUAUUCCCGUACUUGGUGUUACUGCGAAGGGGGGACGGAGAAGGCUAUGUUGGCCGGGCGACGGUUGUCCCGGUUUAAGCGUGUAGGUGUGUGUUCCAGGUAAAUCCGGUUCACUUUAACACUGAGGCGUGACGACGAGGCACUACGGUGCUGAAGCAACAAAUGCCCUGCUUCCAGGAAAAGCCUCUAAGCAUCAGGUAACAUCAAAUCGUACCCCAAACCGACACAGGUGGUCAGGUAGAGAAUACCAAGGCGCUUGAGAGAACUCGGGUGAAGGAACUAGGCAAAAUGGUGCCGUAACUUCGGGAGAAGGCACGCUGACACGUAGGUGAAGUGAUUUACUCAUGGAGCUGAAGUCAGUCGAAGAUACCAGCUGGCUGCAACUGUUUAUUAAAAACACAGCACUGUGCAAACACGAAAGUGGACGUAUACGGUGUGACGCCUGCCCGGUGCCGGAAGGUUAAUUGAUGGGGUCAGCGCAAGCGAAGCUCCUGAUCGAAGCCCCGGUAAACGGCGGCCGUAACUAUAACGGUCCUAAGGUAGCGAAAUUCCUUGUCGGGUAAGUUCCGACCUGCACGAAUGGCGUAAUGAUGGCCAGGCUGUCUCCACCCGAGACUCAGUGAAAUUGAACUCGCUGUGAAGAUGCAGUGUACCCGCGGCAAGACGGAAAGACCCCGUGAACCUUUACUAUAGCUUGACACUGAACAUUGAGCCUUGAUGUGUAG